rnacentral:rRNA from 1 species
GAGUAUGAUAGAGGGUGGUAGAAUUUCAGGUGUAGCGGUGAAAUGCGUAGAGAUCGUGAAGGAAUACCGAUGGCGAAGGCAGGCCACCUGGGUGCGAGAGUGACUGACGCUCAUGUCGAAAGCGUGGGGAGCAAACGGGAUUAGAUACCCCGGUAGUCCACGCCGUAACGAUGUCUACUUAGGAGCUGGGGUCUUCGGACAACUUUUCC